rnacentral:tRNA from 1 species
GGCAGUUUAGCUUAAUGGUAAAGCACUCAGCCAGAGUGUUUGAGGGACGUGGGUUCUGGUCCCACAUCUGACA